CCUACGGGUGGCAGCAGUGGGGAAUAUUGGACAAUGGGGGCAACCCUGAUCCAGCCAUGCCGCGUGUGUGAAGAAGGCCCUCGGGUUGUAAAGCACUUUCAGUGAGGAAGAACGCCUGGUGGUUAAUACCCAUCAGGAAAGACAUCACUCACAGAAGAAGCACCGGCUAACUCCGUGCCAGCAGCCGCGGUAAUACGGAGGGUGCGAGCGUUAAUCGGAAUUACUGGGCGUAAAGCGCGCGUAGGUGGCUUGAUAAGCCGGUUGUGAAAGCCCCGGGCUCAACCUGGGAACGGCAUCCGGAACUGUCAAGCUAGAGUGCAGGAGAGGAAGGUAGAAUUCCCGGUGUAGCGGUGAAAUGCGUAGAGAUCGGGAGGAACACCAGUGGCGAAGGCGGCCUUCUGGACUGACACUGACACUGAGGUGCGAAAGCGUGGGUAGCAAACAGGAUUAGAUACCCGAGUAGUC
rnacentral:rRNA from 1 species